GGGCCCGUAGCUCAGCUUGGUAGAGCCCACUCGUUCCAGACCUGCCCGCCGGGGGUUCAAGUCCCCCCGGGCCCACCA
rnacentral:tRNA from 1 species